rnacentral:rRNA from 1 species
CAGUCGCCGCGGGAAUACGUAGGGGGCUAGCGUUACUCGGAAUUACUGGGCGUAAAGGGCGCGUAGGCGGCACGAUUAGUCAGGCGUGAAAUUCCUGGGCUCAACCUGGGGACUGCGCUUGAUACGGUCGAGCUAGAGGAUGGAAGAGGGUUGUGGAAUUCCCAGUGUAGAGGUGAAAUUCGUAGAUAUUGGGAAGAACACCGGUGGCGAAGGCGGCAACCUGGUCCAUUACUGACGCUGAGGCGCGACAGCGUGGGGAGCAAACAGGAUUAGAUACCCCUGUAGUCCCUGUCUCUUAUAC